UACUAAAAUUUUUAUCUUUUUAUAGUGUUAAAAAUUGAUACGAUAGACAAAAUAACUGAACAGUAACACUAAGUGUGCCACAUAUAACUCAUGUUGAUGUAUAACGGUCGAUUUUUAAUAAUAGAAGUGGAUAAAAUUGUUAACA
rfam:Gossypium arboreum cultivar AKA8401 contig_66476_1, whole genome shotgun sequence.